GACGAACGCUGGCGGCGUGCCUAAUACAUGCAAGUAGAACGCUGAAGGAGGAGCUUGCUUCUCUGGAUGAGUUGCGAACGGGUGAGUAACGCGUAGGUAACCUGCCUGGUAGCGGGGGAUAACUAUUGGAAACGAUAGCUAAUACCGCAUAAGAGUAGAUGUUGCAUGACAUUUGCUUAAAAGGUGCAAUUGCAUCACUACCAGAUGGACCUGCGUGGUAUUAGCUAGUUGGUGGGGUAACGGCUUACCAAGGCGACGAUACAUAGCCGGCCUGAGAGGGGGAUCCGCCAACCUGGGAACGAGAAACCGCUCAGACUCCUAAGGGAAGGAGGAGGAGGGAAACCUCGGGAAUGGACGGAAGUCUGAACGAGGAACGGCGCGGGAGUGAAGAAGGUUUUCGGAUCGGAAAGAUCCGUUGUAAGGGAAGAACGAGUGUGGGAGUGGAAAGUGCACACUGUGACGGUAUCUAACCAGAAAGGGACGGCUAACUACGUG
rnacentral:rRNA from 1 species